UUCGCAAUGCCCGAAAGGGUGACGAAGCGACGCCGCGUGCGGGAAGAAGGCCUUCGGGUUGUAAACCGCUGUCGGGAGUUAAGAAAUGCAAGGGUGUUAACAGCAUCCUUGCUUGACCAAGGCUCCGGAGGAAGCCACGGCUAACUCUGUGCCAGCAGCCGCGGUAAUACAGAGGUGGCAAGCGUUGUUCGGUAUUAUUGGGCGUAAAGAGCACGUAGGUGGUUUUGUAAGUCAGAUGUGAAAGCCUUCUGUUCAAAGGAAGAACGGCAUCUGAAACUGCAGAUCUUGAGUGUAGGAGUGGAGAGUGGAACUUCUGGUGGAGCGGUGAAAUGCGUAGAUAUCAGAAGGAACGUCGGCGGCGAAAGCGACUCUCUGGCCUAUUACUGACACUGAGUGUGCGAAAGUUAGGGGAGCAAACGGGAUUAGAUACCCCGGUAGUCCUAACUGUAAACGAUGGGCACUAAGUAGAGGGGUUUU
rnacentral:rRNA from 1 species